rnacentral:rRNA from 1 species
CUGAACGCUGGCGGCGUGGCUAAGACAUGCAAGUCGCACGGGCCUAGCAAUAGGUCAGUGGCGAACGGGUGAGUAAUGAAUCGCUAACGUACCCCGGACUCUGGGAUAGCUACCCGAAGGGGUAGGUAAUACCAGAUGACAUAACCUGUGGGCAUCUACGGGUUCUCAAAGGUCCGCCGGUCUGGGCGCGGGCGAUUUCGUAUCAGCUAGUUGGUGAGGUAACGGCUCACCAAGGCGACGACGCGUAGCCGGACUGAGAGGUUGGCCGGCCACAUCGGGACUGAGACACUGCCCGGACUCCUACGGGGGGCUGCAGUAACGAAUCUUCCCCAAUGCACGAAAGUGUGAGGGAGCGACGCCGCGUGUGGGACGAAGUCCUUCGGGAUGUAAACCACUGUCAGGGGCUACCAAGUUCUGAGGAGCCCCAGAGGAAGAGGCGGCUAACUCUGUGCCAGCAGCCGCGGUAAGACAGAGGCCUCGAGCGUUAGGCGGAAUCACUGGGCUUAAAGCGUGUGUAGGCGGAUCGUUAAGUGUCUUGUGAAAUCCCACGGCUCACCCGUGGAACUGCUGGGCAUACUGGCGAUCUUGGGCCAACUAGGGGCAGCUGGAACAAGCGGUGGAGCGGUGAAAUGCGUAGAUAUCGCUUGGAACGCCGAAGGUGAAAACAGGCUGCUGGGGUUGUGCCGACGCUGAGACACGAAAGCCAGGGGAGCAAACGGGAUUAGAUACCCCGGUAGUCCUGGCCCUAAACGAUGUCCACUAGAUUAUGGCGGGUUUGACCCCGUCAUGGUCGAAGCAAAAGUGUUAAGUGGACCGCCUGGGAAGUACGGUCGCAAGGCUAAAACUCAAAGGAAUUGACGGGGGCUCACACAAGCGGUGGAGCAUGUGGUUCAAUUCGAAGCAACGCGCAGAACCUUACCUGGGCUUGACAUGCUCGGAUUAUCUCGGUGAAAGCCGAGUAGGCCCCGCAAGGGGUACAACGAGUACAGGUGCUGCAUGGCUGUCGUCAGCUCGUGUCGUGAGAUGUCGGGUUAAGUCCCUUAACGAGCGAAACCUUUACCCUUAGUUACCAGCGGGUUAUGCCGGGGACUCUAGGGGGACCGCCGGUGUCAAACCGGAGGAAGGUGGAGAUGACGUCAAGUCCUCAUGGCCUUUAUGCCCAGGGCCACACACGUGCUACAAUGGCGGUGACAAUGGGCAGCGAGGCAGUAAUGCCAAGCAAAUCCCUAAAAGCCGCCUCAGUUCAGAUUGUGCUCUGCAACUCGAGCACAUGAAGUUGGAAUCGCUAGUAAUCGUGGAUCAGAACGCCACGGUGAAUACGUUCCCGGGUCUUGUACACACCGCCCGUCAAGUGAUGGGAGUUGGUUCCACCUGAAGCCGGGGCGCUGACCGCAAGGAAGCAGCCGACCACGGUGGGAUCAAUG